AAAUCUUGCUCCACAUACAAUGACAACUAGCUGCGGUGUUACAUCAUCCUCACAUGACGAUGCAGCGUUGUCAUUAUCAACUACACUCAAUCAUUAUGAAAAUGUGCCUCCCCUUACUAUAUCAGGGGUUGUCUUGGAUAACACCAAAGAAAUUAGGCUAAUACGUCCAGGUGGAUGCAAUAAAAACUUGACUGUCGAAAAAAGGGAG